GCAUGAACCUUGUUCUUAUGACAGGCUGCUAAAUGUAACUCUGUUCUGUACUCUGUCUCUCAGCCUGUAUAACUGUGGGGGAGAGGCAACAAAUAGUUGAAAUGUCAACUCAAACUGGAGGACACAAUGUAGUGCUAUACAAUAAGAACACAGGUUAAUUUGUAAAUUUAUAUUUUAAUACACUUGCAAUAUAAUAAACAUUCUACAUAUACCUCUAUAUUCCUUUUUUUCUUCGAAACCAUUUUUGAUAGGAAACUAGUUGAGGUGCUGAUGACAUGAAAUAAAAAUAUUAAAUGGCAAUGGCAUGAUGUAGUGGUAUUGUUUGUGACAUUUAUGUUGCCAUUGGUUUGUAAAGAUUAAAAUAUUAAUUUAACAGCUCAGUGCUGAGUUUACAGUUGUAAUUCCAAAUCUUUUUGCAAUGUAAUUACUUUCUGGACUUCGCCGGAUUCGGCCUGCAGUAACAUCCUAGGUCUCCCACCUGUAGGCAUACCAGCAUACCAAGUUGACCUCAGAGGUAAAUCAGGCUGUUUAUCAAUUCUAAAAAUGCAAGGAACGGACUUGUGUUCUCAUGAAGAUCAGUCUUGCCAGGCUGCCUUGAAAGUACGAACUUAGAAAUGCAGCAGGACAUAGAAUGCAUCUUAGCAAGAAUUGACAAGUGCUGCAAGCUUCCAGUUGCACAUUUCUAGCAGUGGAACAGGGUCUUCAUCUCUUCAGUGCUCCCUAAGUAAUAUGUUUCAGCUGGUUAAUAGAUUUACUGUUAACUGGCUGAUUAACCAAAUGUAAAAACAUAUACUAUUAGAAUCUGCAGAAUACUCACUGCAUUAGACAGCACAUAAAUAACUAUUAUGGUGCAGUAGGUGUUUGAAUGACUAUGUUAAAGGGAAGUCAGUGCAUAGCAUAACUGCUAAGAACUGACUGCUGACUACAUUACUGAAUAUGGUUUUGCUUUUAAAUUAUUUUCUUAAAAGCUUUCUGUCCACCCUGCUCUACUUGGAGACAGAGUUAUGAUGUUAUGCUACAAUCGUAGCACUUCCUGGGUGUGGCCUUCUAGAGAUGUGAUUCCUCUUGUGUAAAGUUCAGCACAUACAGCACUAUUAUAAAGACUCCUCACAGAGCUGUGUUCAGAAAUGGAUCAACUAUACAACUUACUGUACAUAGUGAGAUACAUACCACUGAUUCUCACUGUAGCAACAGGCAGUUUUGCAAAUAAAAUCUGGCCAACGGACAAAAAUGCCAUCCUUGUCGGGAAAGAAACAGACACUGUUACUCUGAAAUGUUCAUAUGAGUCAAGCAGCAGUGUUUUGCCUUGUUGGUACAAACAACAUCCCAACAGUGCACCGCAGUUUUUAGUGUAUGUAGGUGGCAAUCCCACUGACAAUCGAUUUCAGGCAACAUCAUCCAGUGGCUCUACUGAACUUACUAUCAGAGGUCUAAAGCUCUCAGAUUCUGCACUCUAUCACUGUGCUCUUAGAGUAGGAGCACAGUAAUACAGAGUCAAUGAAAGGCUGUACAAAAACAUAAAAAUGGUACCUAUGAAGUUUCUAAAACCACAGAAGAUCACUUUAAAAACUUAUCAGUUAACCUCAGACACAAACAACUUGUGGUAACAUGUGCAGCUGAAAGAAACAGAAAAAAAAAUAGGGUUCAACCAUUGACACAUCAGUCACACUAAAUUCACAAAUUGUUUUUAUUUGUAUUUGCUGCCACUUCUGAGACCGUUUUGUUUGUUUAUUUAAGUCAUAUUUUUUAUUUAUUGUCUAGCCAAAGACUCUUACAAACUCUGUCGAGACGCUGGAUUGCUACGUCCUAAACCAUAUGUCCAUCGGGGUUUGAGGCGCAGUUUUGCUGGCUCAUCCUCUACUAACA